AGUGAUCUCCGAUUGAUUAUUUAUGUACAUCUGGCAAAUUUUCUGGAAUUAAAAAAAAAUUAAAUGUCUUCUGUUUUCAUCCCUCUGACCUUGUCAGAGAACAACACGAUAAGGGUGGAGCUUCUGCCACAAAACAACCAAAGUGUUCUGUCUGGACUGAAGCUCAUUCUAUCCUCAGGCCCAGGUAGAUGGACCUUAGCGCACGGUUCCCAGGAGUGCGUAGUUAAUAGAAGAUCGAUGGCUUAUGCCGACUUUUUAUUCUUUGUAAUUCUGAGAGCCGUGACUAUUAUAAGUAAUGGUUGGAAUGACCUGACAUGCUUUUAUCCCAGCACUACGAGGUAAGAGGGUGACAAGUUCAAAGCCAGCCUGGACUGCACAGUGAAGGACAGAGUAUGUAGUCCAGCACUAGAACUGUCAAGAAAGCCCUUUGUCGGUCCACUCCGCCCCACCUUGGCAGAGAAGAAAACAACCAACUGACUCAAAACACCAAAACACGGACAAAAUACACUCCUCAAAGUCGUAAACUAACCUCAUAUCGGAUCAGGGGGGAAUAACAUGGAAGAUGUCACACUCUUAUUCUUGGUGGGAAGGGUGAGGCCAAGUUCUCUGUGGCUGGGAUAGAAUCUGAAUUUGAAUGGCCUCUCCCUCAGCUUUGCCAGAAUGCACUCUGUUUCCCAGAAUGCACCCUGUUUCCCAGAAUGCACCUUGUUUCCUAAACUCUACAGUUCACUUUCCAGAAUGGAGCUCCACCAUCUUCUAGUCACCUUGACGGCCUCUCCUGAGCAUCCCUGCCCUUAUUCUGUGCUCUAAGUCCCUUCAGAGUGAUGUGAGAGCCUGCGUGCGUGGGCAAGUCAGGUGUGCACUCCUCCCAUGGGCUCUGGGAAAGUGAGGAGCUGCCGGCUUUCGGAUUGCUGUUGGCUGUAGACCAGGGAGACUCUAGGCUGGCUAUGGUCCUGGGUUUCGGGAAUUUGGGGCUGGCUGUGGUCCUGAGUGCAGGGAGACUCUGGGCAGGAGGUGGAGCAUUGAAACCUGGAAUUGAUUCUCUCCUGUGCUUGUGGUUGAGCCUUGUUUUCAGGGUUUUGAUAAUAUCGCAGAGUAUUUCCAGAGUGGAUCCUCUCUAAAGGAAAAGAAAAAGUUAGAGUGUAAAUCUAGGUAGUGAUUCUCUUCAAGCAUGAGGAUCUGAGGCCCUCUCCCACCUCAAACAUCCACGGCUUGCCCUCCUUACAAGGUGGAUGGAGCAAGCAAGCGGUAAGAUGCAAAUCGCAGACUUGCUUCGAUUUCUUGAUAUGGGAUUCAGAUAAACGGCCGCUCACACUCCUUAUAGUCUAAUAAGACCUGGGCACGAUGGAGAAUAUUAAAAUUUUCCGCAAGGUCUACAGGUUUUAAUACAGUUUAAUCAAUGGUUUGUAUAUGACACACACUUAAUUUUUAGGUUAAUCCAAAUUCGCUUUCUUGUGUGCUAUAAGCCAGAUGUUCAGAGACAAGGAAACGUUGAGCUGAUUAUUUCUGUGUGUGUGUGUGUGUGUGUUUGGCUUGGGGCAUAAAAUCAUUUUUCCCUCUUCAUCGGGGGUGUUUUCAAUUACAAUUAUGUUUUCACUGCAAAUACCUUAAAAAAAAUUAGCGGAUAUGUUCGGUUAUUAGUUUAGCUUUCAGCAUACUGGUAUUUACUCAGUUAUCCUGUUCUAUGCUUUUAAGGAACCCAUGCGGAUGACAAGCCCAAUAACAUCAAACGUGUACAGAGUUUCACUUCUUUCUCUCCCUUCCUCAACAUAAAAGCCCAGCAAAGGGUUCACGGUCUCUGCCAACUCCGGGGAGAAGACAUGUGCUGGGCAGAUGGCUGCGUGAUCCUCAGAACCCCCGGGGACCCACCCUGUUACAUGUGCUUGUGGCUGCAAAGACCAAAGGCCCUGGAUGGGUGGACGUCUAUCCAGAGGCCUCUGUGGUCACGGAGCCCUCAGAACUCGUCCUGAACCACAUGGAGUAGCAGCCGCUCUACUGUUAGGGGAUGGUUAUGGGAAGUAGUACUGGGAUGUAGCUACUCUGUGACUUGCGGUGCAGCCGUUGCUCUCUCCAACCUGGGGACCUCCAGAGAAGCAAGCUCAAGCAAGUGGCUCCACUUGCGAAUGCGUUCCACAACCCUGCUGCCUCACUCAUAUUAAUAUUUUUAUAUCUGCGGUUUAUCAAGAUGUUUAUAACUAUG